CCUACGGGAGGCAGCAGUGGGGAAUAUUGCGCAAUGGGCGAAAGCCUGACGCAGCGACGCCGCGUGAGGGAUGAAGGUCUUCGGAUUGUAAACCUCUGUCAGCAGGGAAGAACGGUCACUGUGCUAAUCAGCAGUGAAUUGACGGUACCUGCAAAGGAAGCACCGGCUAACUCCGUGCCAGCAGCCGCGGUAAUACGGAGGGUGCAAGCGUUAAUCGGAAUUACUGGGCGUAAAGCGCUCGUAGGCGGUAUGUCAAGUCUAGGGUGAAAGCCCCGCGCUCAACGUGGGAACUGCCUUUGAAACUGGCAAACUGGAGUGUGUGAGAGGAUAGUGGAAUUCCAGGUGUAGGAGGGAAAUCCGUAGAUAUCUGGAGGAACAUCAGUGGCGAAGGCGACUAUCUGGCACAUAACUGACGCUGAGGAGCGAAAGCGUGGGUAGCAAACAGGAUUAGAUACCCCUGUAGUC
rnacentral:rRNA from 1 species